rnacentral:sRNA from 1 species
UGGGGACGGAACCCAGGGCCUUGCGCUUCCUAGGGCAAAUUUGAUAUGCACCCAGGUUAACCUUGGCUGAAAGUCAAAGUCCCAUCGUCAGGUGAUCGAGACUCCCACACAUGAGACGCUUAGGUAUUUAUGUCCCUCUCUCUGGGCCUCAGUUCAACAUCUGAUACAGGAAAGUUUUGACUGCGUAGGCUAACUGAGAAAUUCUCAUCUGUGAAGAACUAAAGGCCAGAGCUCAGUGUCUCAGGGACAUCAUCCUGGGGAGAGCGACAUGGAGCCUGACUGAGGAGUCAGAUAUCAGAGAAUCCAGCAGGAAGCUGCUCUCCUGCCUUGGCCCCUUGGCCCUGAAAAUGUGUGCCUGCUUCAAGUCCAUCUCCUCUCAGCUGCUGAGUCGUUGUCUGUCUGCAGUGGAGAUGAAGCGACCACAGAUGCCCACAGAUGAGGGCCUCAGCAGCUUUUCAGUCCGACAGCAGCUUUUCAGUCCGACAGCCUCUGACCUCGCUUAUCCCUAGCCGCAGCUUCCAAACCAGCGCCAUUUCAAGGUAUUGGAGCUGCCAAAGUCAUUGGAGCUGAGGCUGCUACAGUUGGGGUGGCUGGCUCUGGGGCAAGGAUUGGGACUGUUUUGGGGAGUCUCCUAUUCGAUUCUGGGCUUUGCCCACUCAGAGGCCACGGGGCUCUCUCGCCUAAUGGUGGCCUUCUCAUCCUCCUCGUCAUGUGGAGCAGCUGUUUCCACUUUCACCUCCUAUAGUUCUUUCGUGUCUCGUCUGCCCCCCCUUAUGUUCCUUUUCCUGUGCCUCCCCAAGAAGUCUGGGGAAAGUGCUUGGCUCAGGGUUUGACAGAGAGAAGACAAAUAAAUA